CCAGCUCCCCCGAGCAGGAGUCUGAUGAGAGAAAGUGCAACUACGAGCGGUACCGAGGCCUGGUGCAGAACGACUUCGCCGGCAUCUCGGAGGAGCAGUGUCUCUACCAGAUCUACAUCGACGAGCUCUACGGGGGACUCCAGAAGCCAAACGAAGAUGAAAAAAAGAAGUUGGCAGAGAAAAAGGCCUCCAUCGGCUACACGUACGAGGACAGCACCGUGGCGGAGCUCGAGAACUCCUUGGAGAAGCGAGGGGAGGAGGAAGACUCUGAGGAAGACAGCAACACGGAUGAAGACGAAGUCAUCCCCGAUAUCGAUGUGGAAGGGGACGUGGGCGAGCU